rnacentral:rRNA from 1 species
GUAGCGAAAUUCCUUGUCGGGUAAGUUCCGACCUGCACGAAUGGCGUAAUGAUGGCCAGGCUGUCUCCACCCGAGACUCAGUGAAAUUGAACUCGCUGUGAAGAUGCAGUGUACCCGCGGCAAGACGGAAAGACCCCGUGAACCUUUACUAUAGCUUGACACUGAACAUUGAGCCUUGAUGUGUAGGAUAGGUGGGAGGCUUUGAAGUGUGGACGCCAGUCUGCAUGGAGCCGACCUUGAAAUACCACCCUUUAAUGUUUGAUGUUCUAACGUUGGCCCGUAAUCCGGGUUGCGGACAGUGUCUGGUGGGUAGUUUGACUGGGGCGGUCUCCUCCUAAAGAGUAACGGAGGAGCACGAAGGUUGGCUAAUCCUGGUCGGACAUCAGGAGGUUAGUGCAAUGGCAUAAGCCAGCUUGACUGCGAGCGUGACGGCGCGAGCAGGUGCGAAAGCAGGUCAUAGUGAUCCGGUGGUUCUGAAUGGAAGGGCCAUCGCUCAACGGAUAAAAGGUACUCCGGGGAUAACAGGCUGAUACCGCCCAAGAGUUCAUAUCGACGGCGGUGUUUGGCACCUCGAUGUCGGCUCAUCACAUCCUGGGGCUGAAGUAGGUCCCAAGGGUAUGGCUGUUCGCCAUUUAAAGUGGUACGCGAGCUGGGUUUAGAACGUCGUGAGACAGUUCGGUCCCUAUCUGCCGUGGGCGCUGGAGAACUGAGGGGGGCUGCUCCUAGUACGAGAGGACCGGAGUGGACGCAUCACUGGUGUUCGGGUUGUCAUGCCAAUGGCACUGCCCGGUAGCUAAAUGCGGAAGAGAUAAGUGCUGAAAGCAUCUAAGCACGAAACUUGCCCCGAGAUGAGUUCUCCCUGAGACUUAGAGUCUCCUGAAGGAACGUUGAAGACGACGACGUUGAUAGGCCGGGUGUGUAAGCGCAGCGAUGCGUUGAGCUAACCGGUACUAAUGAACCGUGAGGCUUAACCUUACAACGCCGAAG